CCAAAUAUUAUCAUAUCUUCUCCACCUGAUGUGUUAUAAUCCUUCCUCUUCCAAGCUUUUACCGAACUCCAAAUCAAUCUCCAUUUAGGUGAAGCCAAUACCAACACUCUUUCUUUCUAUCAUGUAUAUAGCAGCCCAACUUAUCUCGUUUUCAUUAAUGGACUUAUACUUUCUUCCCUUUUUAUCACAAUAGAAGCUCAAGUUCUUAUUUGUUGUCAAAAUGUCAAAGUAUGACCAUUAUUUGUUUGCAUCUCAAUGCUUUGGGUCAAGAACAACUCUUCCCAACACUCUUCUCUUCUUCUCCCACCCCUUGGCCGAGCUCUCUUUUUCUCCUGUGAAAACAUGCGCCACAUCUUCUCUGAGCGUGCAUGGAAUCAACACCGUAACUCCCUUUUAGUGUUCCUCUUUUGAAUUGUGCAAUUAAAAGAUGAGUAGCAGCAGCAUAUCUCCUCCCUCUCCCUCGCAUG
rnacentral:lncRNA from 1 species